rnacentral:lncRNA from 1 species
AUGAGAUGGGGUUAUGUGAUGAGGAAAGUAUUUGCCCAUUUAGAGCUUUCUGAAAGAGAAGCUGCAACAAGAAGUGAAGGUGUGAGAAACAAGGAGACAGCAAUGGAAGUCAUCAGCCAAAAUCCCCAGGAAGAAGCAGGCGGAACGAUUGAAGAUGAUCUCCCAGGAAGCUUAUGCUCCGAUCAGCAGUGUGAACCACAACUAGUGCCCAGCAAUUGUUUUCUGAUUGCAGUGUGUCUGCAGGUUUGGAGCCUCAGCAAGUGUCUGAGCCAUCCCGGAAAGGUCACUCCUCCCCUCCAGUAUAUCCAGUUCUGUCUUGCAGCUGCACUGGGCUUUUAGUGACUCUUUCUGAGAGUUAGCUUGUUAUGCUCAUUUACAUGUGGACUUUCCCUGGAUUUACACUGAUAUAGCAGUGCACUGUUUUUCCUGUAAUUUUAAAAUAAUUCUAAACCAUCCCAUCAAUACAAUAUUCAAUUUUGACUUUGACAUCUAAGAAAAUGAGCUACUCCUACCAACAGUUAUGCCCACCAUGCUAUCCCUGUUCCACUAUCGCGUUCUUUGGUACAAAAUGCCUCAAAACAGGAAGACCUGAACCAGAAGAGACCUGUUGUUUCUUUGUGAGAUGCUUGUGUGUUUCCCCAAUACUUUGUAAUUCUCCCCCCUAAACUGCUGUCACAUUGUACCGUGUAUAUAACAGUGAUUUCGCAAUGCUUAAGACCAUUUAUAUUUCUACAAGUGUGAAGAGGAGGUAUGAAGCGUUAUGAGAGUUACUCAGAGAUGCUGAGCUUUGAAUGUCAGUUGUAAAAGGAUGCCUGUUAGAACAGAAAGAAGACAGAAAAAUUUAGAUUUAUUUUUAGCUCUCAUUCAGGCAUAACAGUCAGAAGCACAAAGAAAAGAGCAGAGUUGCCAGGUAGCAAGUUUUCAUGAGUAAGUACCCUACCUGAAAUUAAAGUACAAAGAUCAUUCAAUUUUUUGUUGCAAACUCAUUAAUAGCAUUAACUAGGGAUGCAGAGUAGUUCUCUUUUUUUCUCUUUUUAAGCCAUACAGUUAAUACAAAACUCAAUUUAGGAUCACUAAUUUGUGAUCAAUAACUAAAAAUAAAGAGUUGAACAAAUGCUUAUUAAACUUUAGA